GAUUAACGCUGGCGGCGUGCAUAACACAUGCACGUCGACCGUACUGGCGAACGGGUGAGUAACAAGUGGGUGCCCUGCCCUUCACUUCGGGAUAAGCCUGGGAAACUGGGUCUAAUACCGGAUAGUGUGGGAUGGGCCCGCGGCCUAUCAGCUUGUUGGUGGGGUAAUGGCCUACCAAGGCGGCGACGGGUAGCCGGCCUGAGAGGGUGGACGGCCAAAUUGGGACUGAGACACGGCCCAGAGUGCUACGGGAGGCAGCAGUGGUGAAUAUUGCACAAUGGGCGGAAGCCUGAUGCAGCGACGCGGCGUGGGGGAUGACGGCCUUCGGGUUGUAAACUGCGUUCACCAUCGACGCGGUAGAUGGAGAAGAAGCACCGGCUAACUACGUGCCAGCAGCCGCGGUAAUUC
rnacentral:rRNA from 1 species